UAUAUUAUAUUGUUUAUUUUUGUUGAUUAACGUUAAUCAUCAUAACAACUCAGGCUCAAUAUAUCAGAAUGUGAGAAAUAAGUCAGAAAGUUUUAAGCUGGCGUGUUUUUCUAAGACAAAGGUAAGCUUUGAGGGAGCUGUUCGGCUGGUUUGAUGACGUUUUAUUGAAAACUCCACAGAAAUGUGUUUUUUGUUUGUUUGUUUUUGUUUUUUUGGAGGGGGGUGGGGCAAAGAACCUGUAACAAACGAAAGCAAAAGUUAAACUGAGCUGAAUUUAUAAAGGCUGUGCUGAAAACUGAAAACACUCCAUCUGUGUUAGAGUGAGAUAUCGUCAGAAAAAAGGAGACCAUGAGUUAUCAGCGUGGCUCAAAACAAUUUAAAGGUUCAGACAGACAACUGGUGCAUUGGGGACAAAAUCAAGCUGGCAAUAUGUUUCAGGAUAAACAGAAAAUUAUGAAACAGCCUUCUGAUGAGCAGGUGAAAGUUGUUGUGAGCGGCGAGCAACGUGUGCGAGCUAUGGAUGGGUCACAGUACGCCAUCAAAGAAGAAUACAAAUGGACCAUAGAAAAACAAUAAGACCACUGAUGAAGAAACAAAGCAGAGAGGAUGAAAUGAUCAAAUUCAAUCAAAUUUCCACAACCUGCCAUAAAAUGUGUUGCUUAUUAACAAGUUCUCGCAUGAAUUAAAUCAGUAACCUAGUCUUUAAAACAGGAUGUACAACAUUUUGAAUAAAAUUAGAAGAUUUACCAUUUGUUAACUGCAUCAUGUUGAUAAAUGUGUUUUUUCAUUCAGUUACAUAAAACAUAGAUUUAACUCUUUAAUGAUUAUUGGAAGACUUUCCUCAUGAAAUCAAAUUGUGGUGUCUGUAAAAGCCACUUUUGAAAAACAAGACAAAAUCAUUACGUAAUAAAAAUAGGUUUGGCUAGUUAAAAGUGAAAUUUAAGUUUUAGUUAAAAUGAACAAAAUUAAUAUAAUUGAGCUACUGAUGAAAAAAGUCUCUUUCUCUCAGCUGGGAUUAUUUCUCUUCUUUAGGACUUUGUGAAGAAUAUUUACCAUUUUAUCCAAUAAAAGAAAUCUGUGGGCAAAA